rnacentral:piRNA from 1 species
UGCUUACAUUGAUGGUAAGGUAGCGGGGUAA